rnacentral:rRNA from 1 species
UACGUAGGGUGCAAGCGUUGUCCGGAAUUAUUGGGCGUAAAGAGCUCGUAGGCGGUUUGUCGCGUCGGCUGUGAAAUCCCGAGGCUCAACCUCGGGCCUGCAGUCGAUACGGGCAAACUAGAGUGUGGUAGGGGAGACUGGAAUUCCCGGUGUAGCGGUGAAAUGCGCAGAUAUCAGGAAGAACACCCGUGGCUAAGGCGGCUCUCUAGUACGGUACUGACGCUGAGACGCGAAAGCGUGGGGAGCGAACAGG